rnacentral:rRNA from 1 species
CCCUUAGAUGUUCUGGGCCGCACGCGUGCUACACUGAGUGGAUCAGCGGGUCAGGUUGCGCGAAAGCGUUUCCUAUCUUUAAAUCCGCUCGUGAUGGGGAUUGACGGUUGCAAUUUUCUGUCAUGAACGAGGAAUACCUUGUAAGCGCGGGUCAUCAUCCCGCGCUGAAUACGUCCCUGCCCUUUGUACACACCGCCCGUCGCUCCUACCGAUUGAGUGGUCCGGUGAGGCUUUGGGAUCUGAGCGGAAAGAGCGUUUCGCUGUUUCUGCUCGGAAAACUCAGUCGAACCUUAUCAUUUAGAGGAAGGAGAAGUCGUAACA